GAAAACCAAUACGUGCAAACAAAACUGCACGGGCUGUUGUAUCACCGAUACAAUUCGCUCCCGCAUUUGCGUAACACAUAGUUACCCAAGCGGCGUCCGAUUUGGUUGAUGCCGAUAUACUGAUACGGGCGUAAUACUACUCGGCUAUGAGGAAGUAUGGUUACCAUCACCGUACCACUCGAGACUAAGUAUGGUAGGAAGGUUAGAUUUUGUUUGUUUCGCCCUACCCUUCCAAGAUCCGCCAGCUGGCGGAAAAAAACAAUCUACGCUUGUAGAGCAUUUCAUAGAAUUCUUUUUGAACGCGGGUUCGAUACCCGCCAUCUCCACCA
rnacentral:tmRNA from 1 species